CUUGUUUCUAUGGCUACCAUCCUGAACUCUUGUUUUAGAUAUUGUCUAAUUGCCGUUUUGUUUGCCUCUUUCUUCAUUCACACAGCCACUUUCCCAGUUUAGAUGCCGGACUGUCUGAUCCUCACGUCGCAUCCUUCUUUUUACAAAACCGGUAGGCAAGUGACACGAUCCCACCAGUGAGGCCAGAGGAUGGCUAGCAAGGGUGUUCUUCCAGUUAAGAAGUAAAAAGAAGCACACAUGAAGCAAUGGAACCAUAAAUAAUAGAAUCAAGGUUUUCUACAAAUACCACAGAUACAAUGAUGAUGUCCUGCUACUGAUGACGUCUUAGUUUGUAAAUGAUUAUUCUUGCUUGAGUGCCCUCUGCUGGAAUUCCUGAUAUAUACACAUUGCCUCUACUUACAAGGACAAGCUGAUGUAGGCGAUUGGACUCUAGAGUUAAGGCUCUCAUGAGCCAAGUUUCCUGAGUUCAGCACAUGGAUUCUGCCUUGGUACAGUCAGCAUUGUUUCCAGUGCUGGUUAACCAGUGAGGAGUGUUCGUUCUUUCCAUUAGGAGUGACUCACUAUGCAAAAAUUCCUCCUGGAGUUUCAACAGGAAAAAUUAUUCUUCAUUUUCCCUCCCAAAAACUGUUGUGUAAUGUUGCUGGCCGAGAGAGGAGAUUGGUUCCACCCCAACACUAGCUGGGAUUCAGGGGAAGUUGAAACAGCAUCUAUAUAUAGUAUGUAAAACGCCUGAGGCUAACAGCAGCUGAAAAGCACUCCAGAUAGUUACUCUACUCCUCAGCCAAGAGAUUUAGUUGAAAAUCAAGAACUUCAUGGAUACGCUACUUGCUUAAAGCUUUUUCUGGCUGCGGUCAGCGCUGGAGGCUCAAAGCUUCGAGUCUAGGAGCCGUCAACUCCUUGGUACUCAGUCACCCUCAGGACGGAGAGUACAGUUUGCUAGUGAUAUUUUAUUGGAAAGUGAACACAGAGGAGUCCGUGUGUCUCCCUUGAGUCAUCCUGCUAACAACCAGCACUGAUAGUUACAUUGGAGUCUUGUGGCGCCACUCUUCCUCAUAAAGCACCUUGACUUGAGAACAAAGCCGCGGGCCUCUCGCUUGUCAAUCACAUAGCAGCAGGCAGAGCUAGUCCUAUGGAAGGUACACGUACAUUAGAAGUACCUUUGAGCCUUCACAAAAAGCGACCCACCACCCACGGACCUGAUAGAUGAAGUUUUUCAGCUGGAAAAGAGCCAAGUAUAAGACCCUCAAGACCAGAAAGUGAAAAUCUAAGAUGCCAGCGAUCCUACCCUCCAAAUCAACCAACACCGUGAAUAAGGCAGUAACUUAAAGGUGACUGUUGCUUCCUGUCAAGGGGACAAUAAGAGUGGCAGAAUCAACCGGCUCCUCAGACAGCCGCGGGACAGUCUGCAGGCCAGUGCUGUGAGAGUCUUUGUUUCCUCAGGAGACAGAAUUUAAAUUAUUAUACAGAAUCUUCUAAAUUUGAAA